GAUGCUAUAGUAGUUUAAUAUCACUGCUGCUGUUCUACAUCACAAACUAAACCAAGUUUUCUAUCCAAUUAAAGGAUUUAUCAGUGUUAUAAAAACAAUGAUAGUUUGGAGGUGCAAAAUGUAAUUUCAUCAUUCCAAAUGGGAAUUUUAUUCUGUUGUAUUCUAGCUUUUG